GCCCCACCCACGAUGCACACACGCCCAACCCACGCGCACACACACCCACGUUGGAUCCCAUCUCUCUCGUCUUCCUCGAUCCCCUUUCUGCACCCCACGCCGUCGCCAGAUUUCGGCGAUCCCCGUCGUUCCCCACCGCCCAGCUCUCCUCCCCGAGGUCACCUCUCCCCACUCACCAUCUCCACCGACCGGUUUCUCUCCUCGCCCAGGAGAGUCCCGCCUCCUCGCCGCCAAGGCCGCUGCCGCCCGCCGCCUCGAACGGUGCCGCCUCCUCCUUGAGCGCCGCGCCGCAAACCUCGCCUCCCGCGCCCUCGCCGCCCGCGCUGACAUCGACGCCACCCACGCGCGCCGCCUCGCCGUCGCCCGCGACAUCAGCUCGACCAACGGCGAGAUCGAGGACGCGCAGCGGAAGGCGGAGGAGUGGGAUCGCUUCUACGAGUCCAAGAGGAUGGAGAUGGAGGAGUUCCGGCCAUCGUCUCCACAGCCUCCAUCCACCACGGCCGCAUCCACUUCUCAACCCCACGAGUAGCCUCCUGGCCUAGUUCCUCGUCACCGUCCUCCUCCCGGUCCCCGUCCACCUCCGCCUCCACCUGGUGGUCCCAGAGGCGACGACUCCCCGUCGCCUCGGCCACCGUAGAGCUCCGCGAGGCCGCCGCGGGUGGUGGAGACUCCGUCAUGACGCCGCAGCCCAACUCAAGUGUUAAGUUCAGCGUGGAGGCAGCCCUGCAGGAGCUGCAGAGCAGCGGGUUGCACUCGGACGACGUCGGGAUCGGGGCUGCGGAAGCCUGGAAGGCCUACCUCAUGGCUAAGAAGGCCAAGCUGGACGAGACCCUGGCUGCAGCCCGCCAGUUCAGAGCACUGCUUCGGCAGCAGCUCCAGAAAGCCUUCGCGUCACAGUCUUUUUUAGAGGAGGCCCCGGCGGCGUCGAGCUGCUGUUGCUGCGGGCACAGCGACGUCGGCGUGGUUGGGAUGGUCGCAGCCCUUCAAGAUUCUCAACGGCGGCGUCUCGGCGCUGAUGGCGGAGUCGAUGGCGAGCAUCGGCGGGUACAGGUUUAGAUCAUCCAUGAAUUGGUAGUUAUUGGUCAUAUUUAGUUGCAUUUUGGUCAGUCCGGUUGUGGCUAUGGAGCACUUCUUUUGGUCAUGUGCUAGAUCUGUCAUGUAGGAGUAUUUGGCAAUGGAUAUUUGCUCAUACAGAAUUUUGAUAAUCAACUAGGAAUUACAAUUAGAAUCAAAGCAAUGCUACUUGUACUCCUUUCAUGAAAAAAAAGGCUACUCGUAGGACCCUUGUAGGAGACCAUCCUCAAGAUGGACGAGAAGAUGAGGUCUGGACCCUUGUAGGAGACCAUCCUCAAGCAGCACUAGAUAUGGAGUAGGAGGACGAGCAGCAGCGGCAAAUCAGACUGAUGAUGACGGGGUGCGGAAGGCAAUGGUGAUCAUGCUGAUGGCAUGAAGAAGGCUGAUGACCACAACCUGGACAUGUUGGCAUUUAGAGAUGGCAAACACAGGCGGCGUGGAGACAGCAACCUGGACCACCCACCUCGCUUGCCUUUUUAAUUUUGGUUGUGGUGGUUGCAUCACCGUCGCGGUCGCAAAUCAGUAUGUAGUGUGCUUGUGGAGUUGGGUCUGGACUGCAGUGUCCAUCUAGUAGGUUAGGUGUUGUUGCUGCUAGAUCCCAUGAUGCUCACCUAAGUUUUGUGUUAUAUGGAGGCCAACCUUUGUGACCUUAUUUGUCGACACUUGUGUGAUCUCGUCUUACUUUGUGCUACAGGUUGUAUGAUAUAUAAGUUUUUAUG
rnacentral:rRNA from 1 species